CUAGUAACUGCGAGUGAAGCGGGAAAAGCUCAAAUUUAAAAUCUGACGGUCUUUGGCCCGUCCGAGUUGUAAUCUGGAGAAGUGCUUUCCGCGCUGGACCGUGUAUAAGUCUCUUGGAACAGAGCGUCAUAGAGGGUGAGAAUCCCGUCUUUGACACGGACUACCAGUGCUUUGUGAUGCGCUUUCAAAGAGUCGAGUUGUUUGGGAAUGCAGCUCAAAAUGGGUGGUGAAUUCCAUCUAAAGCUAAAUAUUGGCGAGAGACCGAUAGCGAACAAGUACCGUGAGGGAAAGAUGAAAAAGCACUUUGGAAAGAGAGUUAAACAGUACGUGAAAUUGCUGAAAGGGAAACGCUUGAAGUCAGUCGCGUUGUCUGGGACUCAGCCUUGCUUUUGCUUGGUGCAUUUUCCAGAUGACGGGUCAGCAUCGAUUUUGACCGUCGGAAAAGGGCUGGAGUAAUGUAGCACCUUUGGGUGUGUUAUAGACUCCAGUCGCAUACGGCGGUCGGGAUCGAGGAACGCAGCGCGCCGUAAGGCAGGGGUUCGCCCACUUUCGCGCUUAGGAUGCUGGCAUAAUGGCUUUAAACGACCCGUCUUGAAACACGGACCAAGGAGUCUAACAUAUCUGCGAGUGUUUGAGUGGAAAACCCGAGCGCGUAAUGAAAGUGAAAGUUGGGACCUCUGUCGUGGAGGGCACCAACGCCCGGACCUGACGUUCUCUGACGGAUCCGCGGUAGAGCAUGUAUGUUGGGACCCGAAAGAUGGUGAACUAUGCCUGAAUAGGGUGAAGCCAGAGGAAACUCUGGUGGAGGCUSGUAGCGAUUCUGACGUGCAAAUCGAUCGUCA
rnacentral:rRNA from 2 species